rnacentral:lncRNA from 1 species
AAAUCCAAAUCCUAAUUCCUUUUGAUUUUUAUCACCUCUUAAGUUAUAAAUCUCUAUAGAAGUUAAGAAAAACACUCAAAAAUACUAUUGAUUUCUCCAUUGUCAAGCUUGUGAGUUUUUCAAGUUUUUGAUCAAACGUUUGGAUUUUCGUUAAUUAAGGUAACAAUUCAUCUUUCUAUUAGUUUUUAAUGUUAUCUAGUCUUUUACACGAAAAUUUUAGCCUUUAAAUCGCAUAAUUUUAAUAAAAAUCGAAAAUUGGGUUGUUAAUGGUGAAUUUCGGGAUUUUGGUUAAUAACAUGGUUUCAAAGUAUUUUUCAAUUAGUUUUGAUGUAACUAGAAGCUUUUUAAACUUACUUUUAAGUUUCAUUAAAGAAAUCUUGAGUUUUUAUGAAUUUUUGGAAAAUAGCCGUAAAAUAUGUCGAAAAAGUCGAUACUAUGAAUUGAGUAUUUUAUUAUAAUUUAAAGGUUGGGAAUUAGUCGUAGGUGAAUUAUAAGAUUUAUAAGAUGAACUGAAUUAGUUUUAGGUGAAAAUAUUGAGUAUAGACCGAGAUAUUUGAGUUUUAAGUUUGUUAUGUUAAAGGUUUCGGUUACAUGAUAAGGUUUAGGCUUAUAUUUUUUAUUACUUGUGGUGAGUUCUUAGCCGAUUAUUGAAUGCAUUGUUGUGGAAGUUGUCGUGUUGAAGUUCCAGAUUGGAUAGGACGUUCUAUGAAUAGAGAUAAAGGCAAGAAAAAGAAAGUUUGAGAUUUCGGCUUUUCGACGAAAGCGUAAUUGGUGAGUGUUUGGAACAAUUGCUUCUGAACAUGAUUCAAUGUAUUAUUUGGGAAUUUAGUAGCAGCUUAAACCCCUCCUCUAAACUCCAAGUGUAAGCUUUCUCAUACCUAUGUUAUCUUAUGAACUAUGUGUUUAUGUAUUUGUGAAUAUGUGAUUUAAGAUGAGAUUCUAUAACAUGUGAUAUGUGGUUAUGAUAACUGUUAUGAAAGUGCAAACAUGUACAUGUUAUGUAUAUGUUAAAUGUUAGUGACAAUGUUUUGCUAAAAAAGCAAAUAUGCAGUUAUACUGCAUAGAUAAUCGGUAAGUGAUAUGUGUUUGUUUCGGAUAUUUUGAUCUUUUGAUCUUGAAACCAUUGGAUAAAGUUGGCAUGCCAUAGGAUUAUGAGUACUCACCUAUAUGUACAGUGAUUUGGGGCGUUGAGGCCCUGGGGCAUGUUGGAAGGAUAAGGGAAUGGGAGCUAAGCUCCAUUCAACGACACAAGCGAGGGGACAUAAGGAAAGUGUUAGCUAUAUGCUUCACUUCUGGGACAUGUUUGACUCUAUGAGUCUAUGUGGCGUGUUGGAGAUCCGUGUAUCCGAUGAGUGAUGAUAGAGCUCACUUAUAUGUUUCAUAGCUCAAGUGUCAAAUUAUCUUAAAUUAUGAAUGUUAUGUGAUUAUAAGAGUAUUGUGAUAUAUGCUUAAAUGUUAUGUGAUUAUUUGAAUAUUGCGAUAUAUGCUUAAAAGUGAAUGUGAUUACCAUGUAAAUGAACUAGUAAAUAAUGCAUGAGUGAGUAUAAUGUAAAACUAGUGUUGGAACUGUUGAGGUUGUGAUAUAUGGUUGCUUCAUUUAUGCUUGAUGAAUUGUUUGCAUGGUAGUUAUUCUAGGCAUUCACUGAGCUUGUUAAGCUCACCCACUCCCUUCUUAAACUAUUGCAAAUUAGUUGUGUGCUGGUAUGAGUAGUGUGGUUUUCGAGGGGUGAUUCCAAGCAAGUCAUUUUCUGUUAUUUCGUAAGUGUUAUUGUUAUUUUUUUUCAUUUUGGGAAUAAGGCAAUAUGGUAGACUUUUUGUUGGUAUUUUCCAUGAUGUUUUGGAUGCUUCCAUUGACUAUAUGCUUCCAACUUUAUGAUAUUUGUUUCGUAUUAUGUUAAUUAUAGCUCGGACUUACUUUUGAUGUUUGAGACUAGUAUUGCAGCCAUUUCAACAUUUAUUUGAUGAUGAUAUGAUAGCAUGAGGAAUUGGUACAAGCUGGAAUGACUUAUAUGCUUAAAAAUGUUGUAUUUUUCUAGUAUGGAGCAGAGGUAUCAAUAUUCAUGUUGUAAAAACAAUAUCUCUGUAAUUUGAAAUGUGUAGGAAGUCAGAAUUGUAAAUUGGUAUCAAUACCAUAACACGAGUAUCGAUACUCGAGGUAGUUUUAUUGAUACUUUUACAAAGGUACCAAUAUUUUUCGAGACUUUGAUUUUAGACCAGAAAUAGAAUGUUGAUUUGGUAUUGAUUUUCCAUACGGUAUCAACACCGUACCACGAAAAUAUCGAUACCCUUAUCUUAGUAUCGAUAUCUACGUGAUUUUCUUGAAAAUUUUGCUAAGUGGUCCUAAUGCAUGUUUAAUUAUUAUUAUUAUAAGUUUAUUUAAAGUAUGUUUGGCAUGUUCUAAUGAUGAUUGAUAAAUGUUUGACUAAAAAUUUAUAAGAUCACUGAUAAAGAAGAUGAUUUCUUAAUACUGACAAUUUACUAUGAGUGUGAUAUGAGACGAUGGUGUGGCAUCUUAAUAUUCGGGCUUGGCAACUAGGCUGAGUAUAGGGUGUUACAGAGGUGGUGUGUAGCAAAUGGGGGUAGGAUUUGUUUUGAUAUGCUAUAUGUUCUGAAAUUUGAAAAAAAAACAUAUGUUCUGAAAAUUUUGAUCUGACAUUUGCAUAUGUGUAUGUUAUGAGUAAGAAAAUUCUGUAUGUGGGUCAAGUCACACAUUGGGCUUCUAGCUCAUUCAUUUUUGUUUCAUUUCAGGUGACCCUGAUGCAUAGGUUUGGGCAGCGAUUCUGGAGCUCUAUUUGCACAUUUUGGUUUAAGUAUGAUUUAGAUUAAAUUUCAGACUUUAUGAACUUUCUGAUUUUAACUUUGUUUUGGGACGUUAAAUUUGGUUUUGGUAAUUAUUUCAAAAAUGUACUAUUUAUAAUUCGUAAUUAUAUCCAAGACGACAUAACUAAUGGUAUUUAUGGUUUUAAAAGUUAAGGAUUUAUAAUGUAUUUUUCCGCUGGAAGGUUUUGAAACGAAAUGUGAUGUUUUACAACUCAAUUGCUUGAGCUUAUGGGAUUGGUUUAAUAAAAUUAACAAAACAAGUUUUUCGUCAAAGUACUCACACACGAUCUUCUGAUUACUCGUGUUUUGAUAAAUUAAAUAACUUAAUUACUCGGAUGAUAAAACUAAGUUUUCACGUAAAUUAAUCGACAAUGUUUUUUACGUAAUAAUGUAACCUUCAUAAUCCAACCGUAACUUCUAGGUCGGGUUUGGGGUGUUACACACCUUCUUAACUCAUAUAUUUAGUUGCAAUAUUCUCACUUCCAAUGUUGGUACGUCGAAAGGCAGUCAACCAUUGAUCCCUUUUAUUUCCCCUUUAAUUUCAGCCAAAAUGAUGGGUUAAUUGCCCAAACAGCCCUUAGGGUUCCCAAAACCUAAACAAUUUACCCCACCUUCUCCCAAUUGAAUUAGAAUUUCCCCUAAUCAAAUCCUAACAAGACUUCUGUCAACUUUUACUAUAUCUUCUCCUAUUUCUUUUCUUUUCUCUUCUUUACAUGAAUUUUUUACAUCAUCUAGCUACCAAAUAUUUUUGCUUUUCAACAGUAGAUCGUUCUCCAUUGGUUGAUUUUCCACCAGAAUCCUAAUUACUAUCAAAUCACAACCCUAGUCUUCGCCAAAGAAUCGAUAAGAACAUUCCAAUCCCAAUGUUUAAUUCUUAAAUUCCUGUAGAAUUUCUAUACACACUAAUUUUAAGAUCGAUUAAAUAAUCUUUUAUUAAUCUUGUCGAAAUUUUCGAUAAUCUUGAUAAAUCUUGAAAUUCAUUAUUAAUUCUAGUGUAAAUAUCGUUUGAAGGACUCGAUUUAGGUACCUCAUACCAAAUUUAAGCACAAAGAAAAACGUUCGAGAUCUUGGAGAUAGGUGUGUGUUCUUUUAGAAGCGAAUUGGGGCAAACCAUGCCUCAAAAUAGAGCCACACAGGCUUUUGGACCACACGGCCUGCCACAGGGUCGUGUCUCCCUUAUACCUUGAUUUUGCAAUUUCCACACAGCUCGGCCACAUGACCGUGUAACCCAUCCACACAACUUAAGGCAUUGCACACGACCUGGCCACAUAGACUUGUGUCCUUAUUUUAUAGUUUUGCCCAAAAAUUUUAUAAAUUGUUCAAUUUUGUCCCUGUAUGAUUUGUAAACUAUUUUUAGGGUUUUAUCUCUUAUAAUUAGGUCCCUAAUACUUUUAAUAAUGUGAAAUAUAUUAUUUGAUUGGUUAGAUUAUUACUCUUUAUGCAUGAUAUGCGAUUGAAACUUGUUUACUAUCAUCGAAUUAUUGAUGUAUUGUCACUAAUACCUGCACUAUAGUAUUUUUAAUUGCAUGAACAACAUGCCUAUUGUUAUUAAUAAACUGAAAUUAUGACAUUCAUGUCCACUGCUACUGUUAAAAUGAGUACAAGUUAUGCAUGUCCACUGUUUCUGUACUGUACAGUGAAUAACAUGUCGCAUUGCAUUGCAUGGGACGAGAUGCUGUGAAAGGAGGAAGUACUGACAGUUUUAACUAUAAACACUGGUGGUUUAUCCACAAAUUAUUGGUAGCUUUUAUCUGCAAACCCGUUGUUUAUUUACAACUACUGGCAUUGUAUUAACCUGCAAGCACUCGUGGUUUAUCCAUAAUUUAUACUGGCAGCUAUUAUCUAUAAAAUCAUUGUGUAUCCACAAUUACUGGUAGCAUAUUAACCUCCAAGACUGGUGGUUUAUCCAUUUACUGGAGUGUCCGAGAUGUAAGAAUUCUGAGAAACUCUUACUAAGGAGUGUAGCGGUGGGGUAAGACCUAUUUAUAUUGUUAAACUUAAAUUUCUAUGUAUUGCAUCAUCAUGUACAAGCAUGCUCGAAUGAACUGUCAAUUUAUGCUAUGCUAUAUGAUUGCUAAUGUAUGGUAAACUAUUGUUACAUACGCUUGGAUUACUAUUUGACACUAAUUUACUUGUGAUGGAACUCACAUUGAGCGUCAUAGCUCACUCCCCCAUAAUAUUCAUCCUUAUAGAUAACCCACUAGGCUAGGACACAGGUGCGACAUUCGGACGAUCUCGACUUCGUUGUUUUUAUCAAGUUAUUUUAGGCUCACUAUUUUAUCAUUAUUAUUCAAGACUAUACUAUUUUAUUUCAAACUAUGGCAUGGAACUUAAGAAUUGAAUUUUUAUAUUGCAUGAUACUUAAUUUAAGUUUUAAGAUAACUAGAUAUGAUUAUAAAUGAGUUAUGCAUGAAUCCCUAGUUUUUAUUAAACAACCACAUAUCAAAUGUUUAAAAAUGUUUUUUUUUUCAAAACAACCACUUAAUUAAAGUUUUGAGGAAUAAAAUGUUGAUAUUUAACUAAUUCUUUUACUUUAACAACUGUUUAAAAAUAUUUGUUUUCAAAACUUCAAUAGUCCACUGGGUCACUUCGGUGGCUAAUGCAAUCUUUCGAAUUUGGGUCUAAUAUCUAGACUGGGUUGGGGAGGUUACAGCUUCAUAGCUCACCCUUUUUUAUUUUCCAUUUCUACAGACAACUCAUCAGGUUAGGACGUGGACAAGGGAUCCGGAGGGUCUCGACACAAUUUUUUUAUUAAAAUAUUUUAAAAUUAUCAUUUGAUAUUUUUAUUAGUUAGAGACUGUAUUAAAAUAUUUUGAACUGUGGCAUGAGUUUGAUGACUUGUUUUCUUUUAGCAUGCAUAACAUUUAAUCUAAUUUUAGGAUGUCAAAGCAUGAACAUUAAUUAAUUAUGCAUGAACUUCGGUUCUUAUUAAAAAAUGUAAACUGUUAUAAAUUUUUUCGUUGCUAAAUUUUAAUUGAAGAUUUUGAGUAACAGGUAAAUAGGAAAUUAACUAAGUUUUUAAAAGAAAAGUAGACAUCAUUACAUAAAUAAUCUAAAUUGGUUUCUUGAUAACUCAUGAGCUUUUAUGAAAAAAAAGAACAAGUUUUCUAAUGUUUAAAUAUGUCAGAUUUAAAAAAUUCGAUAACUUAUUGGGUCACCUCAGUGGUUAAUGUAAUCUCUCGAAUUCGGGUCUAACGUCUAGGUCGGGUUGGGGAUAGGAGCGAAGGCAGAAAAUUUUUUUAAGGGGCAGAAUUAAAUUUUAAUUUUUACUAUAGUAAAAUGCAGUUUCACCAUUUGAAUAGCCUAUAUCUUUUAUAAUUUUUAAAGGAUUAAAUCAAUUUUUUAAUCAUUUUUAGGGGGACCAAAGUGAAAUUUUACCUUUACUAAUUUAAAUUUUUUAAAAAUUAAAGGUCCUAAAUAAAAAAAAUUCAUUUUAGGGGGGCCAGGGCCCCUGCUAGCCCCCUAGCUACACCCCUGGUUGGGAAGGUUACAAGAAUUGCCAAAAGAUCACAAGCCAAUAGUGAAAACCCAUUAAAUUCUUAAAAGAGUUUAAAUUAAAUUGUUAAUUUUUAAAGGGACAAAAAUGAAAAUUUUCCAUUAAACAAAGGGAUAAAAAUUCUUAAAUUAAAUAGUUAAUUUUUAGAAGUACAUAAAAUUGCAGUUAUCCCAUUUAGUCAAGAGAGGGCCUUACAUGCACCUCAGCUUCACCCCUAUGCAAUUUAUAUUAUCUAUAAUAUAUACAAAAUCACAAAAGCUUUUAUUUGGGAACUAGCUAGAAGCUUAAUUGCUUAAGCAAUGUCCUUUUCUUUUUCUUAUCACGAAGAUCUAUGCAUAUGCAAAAUAUGUGCAUGAAAUUAGUUGUACCUAACUGUACUUUAGAACUACCAUGCAUAUAUUAAACAUUAUGAAAAUGUUGUACCUACCUCAAUUGUCAUCUUAUGCCUAAUGAAAAAAUUUAUCACGCUUAAUAUUAUAAAAAUAAUAAUAUAGUUAAAAAUGUGUCUAGUUAAAAAUUGAAUAUAGUUUUUGUUAAAAUUUUAUUAGGUAGUAGUUAGAGAUUUUGUUUAACAUCUUGCUGAUACGGGUUUAAACUAAUAUUUUUGGAAUUAGAUCGGUGAUUAAAUUGAUUAGGUCACUGGUUCGUUGGUCUGAUCAAUUCGAUUCAAAAAUCAUUAAAAAUUUAUAAAAAAAUAAAAAAAAUCCAAUAACAUCUCAAAUAAUAGAAGUAAGAAGUUAGUACGAUAUACCAAUUCAUCUAAACCCCAAUCAUAAUUAGAUACGUGAUGUCUUAGGAUUAAGACAACUUACGUAUAUAAGCUAAGGCCCCAUUGAGAGAAGUAAGCAAGAGCGUUCCCACCAAAAUCAAGUGGCUCCCAUCUCUUUACAUAUGACCUUUGACUAUCAUAUAGCUCUUCACCUUUCUUCACCUUACAAUCUUUUUUGUGUAUCAACAAUGUAUUAUUAUUUAGAUCACUAAUAGUGAAUAGAACUAUACAUUAUAGGUAUAUGUGUAUACAUUAUAGGUAUAUAUCAUUGAACUAUGUAUCAUAAAUUGUAAUAAAAAAAUAAGAAUCUUGUAUCAUAAUUUUAUCGAAUAGGGACUAAAAAAUAUUAAAUGAAUUAAACUUAUUUUAAAAAUAAAUACCAUAAUAAUGACAAUUUAAUCAAAUGUAUUUAUAAAUAAUUUUACAUUUCAUCUAACAAACGCUUAAAUUUUAUAUCCAACCAAAUGGAACAAAUAAGAGAACGAAACGUAUCAUUAAAACAGAUGUAGUUAAGUAAUUUACGCAACACUAGCCCUUGCAUGUUCCGAGCAAGAGCAAGAAGUAGGUUUAGGAGAGUGGAGACGAAGGCCAACGAGAGUCACGAGGAGGAUAAUGUGAGAGGGAGAUUUGACAUUCCAAGUUUUGUUCUUUUCUCUAUUAAAGUAAUCUAAUCAGCUUUCAUAAUAUGAACUAAGGUCGCAUUUGGUAUGAAGUUAAUUUUAAACAAUCAUAUCACUAUGAUGGCUUUUUAACCAAUAUAUUAUACAAAAAAAAUGUACUACUUUUUUUUAGGAUAUCUUGAUAUUUAUGAACAUUAGGUUUGUGACAUUUAAAUUCUUCAUAGAUUUCGUGCUCAACUAGGCAAAUAUAGGUGAAGUAGAGCUCCACACUCUUUUAUCAAAUUCAUUUGAUUUUUACUAGGAUUAAUAAAUUUAUUCAAUAUGCUAUAUCGGAUACUAAAAAAGAGUGUGUAACAAACUUUAUUUUUUAUUAAAAUCACAUCUAAUUUACAUCGUUAAACACCAUGACUUCAAAAUUUUAAUUAAAAGUAAUAUAUAUAUUUAAAUAAAAUUACAUUGAAAAGAUACUUAUAUAAUAACAUAGUCAAAAACCCUAUACUAAACUCAACACCCAUAACUUCCAAGUUAAUCAGAAAUAAAUUUCUCAUAUUCCUAUUGUCAAAAAUAGUAAUAAAAUAUUUAUUAUAUAUGUCAAAAACUGAACAAAGAUAUAUAUAUUGACCUUGAAGAGUUUUUUUUUAUAAUUUUUGGAACUCUAAAUUUGAUUUAUGAUUUAUUUGAAAUUUUUUAUUUUGGAUAUUUUUUACAUUAUUUUUUGACAUGACAUAGAUGAUAAAAUACUAUCAUGUUGGUAAUGAAAAGUUGAAGAUUAAUUUGCUCCAAAUAAAUGAGUGGGGCAAAAUUGAAUAAAUAUGUAGAGAUGAAGGACUAAAUUUAUUAUAAUGCUCUCUCCCUCUAUAUAUAACACCAAAAUAAGCAUUUUACAGAAAACUUUUAUGAAAGGACCAUUUUUCUUCUUCAUCUAACAUGUAAGGACCAAUUUGCUCAUUUUUCUAUAGAUGCAUCAAAAUGCAAUUUAAAAUAUAGUAUAGAGACUGCAAUUUAAAAGUACUAAACUUAAUUAACUUAUUUAUACUAAUAUUUAUAUUCUAAUUAAAUUGGAGUCACGAGUCAAUCGGGAUAAUUCGGAGAUUACCAACAAAAAUAUUUUUUUAUCUUUUUAUAUUUUAUAUAAAAUUUAAAAAUCUAAACAUGACAAUAGUUAGCCUAACAUACCACAAUUCUAUAAUCUUAACUUUACAUUUUGAACCAAAGUCUCAUUUAUUUUCAAAUAUAAUUUUUUAAAAUUAUUUACAUAAUUUUUUUCACUCAUGUAAUUUAAUAUAUUUUAUAUAAGCAUUUAUAAUUAUAUCUUAUUACUUUAGACAACUAAAUCUAAAAUUAAAAAUAGAUACAAUUUAAUUUUAAUAUUUUUAAGAUCCAAAUUCACUCUACUUAAACUCGAACCGAACCACCAAUAUCAUCCAUCAAUAUAGAAAUCACAAACUGAAAAGAAAAAAAAAAAAAGCAUCACCCAAAUACAACCUCCCAAAGAGGGAAUAAGAUUAGAUUUGGUGGCAGUGAAAAACAGAUAGAAAUUUCCAUGCACCAACGUUUACGUUGUCCCCCACCUUAUCCGGUUCACAAUCACUUUUUGUUUGUUCUCUUAGCUGUGUUCUAUGAAAAAUACCCAAAUUAGAUUUUAUCCUAGCUCAGUUGAUAUAGUUGCUAUUGCAAUAAUCAAAAUAAUGUGGGCUUAAACACAUUUAAGUGCAUAUUUACCUUCGAUUUAAGAGUUGAGAGGAGUUAGGAGCAGGAGUAGGUAUUAUAUCAAAAAAUACUUUGUUUUCCCCACUUCACUUUAGGUAAACAAAUAAUUAUUUGUACCAAUUAAAAUUUUAAAAAAACUUUUUAAAAGAAUAUAUCAAAAAAAAUUAUAUUUUAGGUCAAAUUAUGGUUAUAGUCUCUCUAUUAUGUAUAAAUAUAGGAUUUAAUAUCUCUACUUUUUUUUAUUAAAUUUUGUGUGUUAUAAAUUUUAAGAGAAUUUUACGUCAUCAUUUAACUCAAAAUGGUUAAGGAUGUUUUUUUUUAUCUCAAAAGCCAACCUCUUUAUUGAUGAAUUAAACAAAGUAAAAAGACAAUUAAAUGAACCAAAAAUCAAAAGGAAAAUACGAAAAGGAAACCCUCAGCCAUGGGAUUUCGACCAGCGGCUACUCAAACAAAACAUUAACUGAUACGAGUCACAAAGGCCCAACCCAAGCCCAAGAACGUGAUGGGCUCAAAUUACCACAAGGCCUAAUAACAAGAUCAAAGGCCCGACAAAUGCGUUCCAAAAUAAACGGGACCAUUCAGGAGUUUGUUAGCAAGGCCUUAGAUGCGUACAUGAAAGAAAGAGAAAAUCAAUAUUCACUUUCUUGAUUUCAAGAAAAUCUAGAAACCGAAUCUUGGCCCAAUCUUGCUGUUUGGAGCGAUUUCAAGAAUCAAGAAAAUCAAGAUUUCAAAUCUUGGAAAACUUCGUCCAAGAAACUAAACCUUGCAGCCAAAGCGCAUUGGAUCUCCGUUACGAGCAUCAACGAACCAAUUUCGGUAGGAGAUGGAAUACAAGCCCCAAGUUCUUGAAGGCAAGGCCCAAUAAGAUGAUUCCAAGCCCAACCAAGAAGACAAACCAUACUUACUUGAAAAUCUGGCCAAAUUGUCAAAGUGGCCCAAUUUGUAAAGUUUUAUUUUUUUUAAAUACUUAGUUUAAAUUUUUAUGUAAAUAUUCAGUCCAAGAGGCCCAAUUAACAGGCCUUGGCUGAAUUUCCAUUUAAAAUUAAAAUAAUUAGGAGUAUUUUUAGUUUUAGUUUUCUAAACAGAUUAGGAAAACAUUUGAAAAGCCUAUAUAAAGGCUUGGCCGGCCACCUUGUUAGACACUUUCUCAAUUAUAUUAAAAAUUUCAGAUUUGUUUAAGUGCAGAAUUCUCCUUGAGUUUUUCUCCAAGAAUUCUCUCUUGAGUUUUCUUUAGAAGUUGUUUUAACAAUCUUUUGAUUGUGGGAGCCAUCUUCAGCCUUCUUCUUGCCAUUGAUAUUCUUUGGAGGGGAGAUUAGAGCCGUUUGAAGGGAGUUGUGAGAUCUUUCGGGAUUUCAAGGCUUCUUAGGACUUAUCUUUUAAUUUCUUGCUGUCAAUUUUUUCUUUUAAAAUCUUCUUGUGUCGAUUUUAUUUAAUCACUUUGUUUGCUGUUCUUGUUGCGUUUUAGGCGUUCCAAAGCAUUCCAAAUCUGAUUCGCCCUCUUCUUUACUAAAGAUCGGAUCGCCCCUUUUGUUCUUGGCAGUAAAAAUUCGUUCAAAAUCCCUAAAUUCCUUAUUCUUGCCGAUUUCUUCUUUUCAGAUUUGGGUUGUUUUGAUUGCUGGAAUUUUGGGGAAAUUUAACUUGCUGUUUGUCAUUCUUUUCAGAUUCGGCAGAUUGGAGUAUUCUUUGGGGUUCAAUUACAUGUUCUUGAUUCCCCAAGAACCCUUAUUAACAUUUAAACCUAUUCUCAAUUUGAUUCUUUGCUGAUUUGGGGAUUUUUAUUUCAGAUCUGGAAAUUCAAAGUUUUAAUCUUUUAAUUUCUGUUUCGUUUCAGAUCUGUUCGUUUAGAGCCUCGUAGGAGUUUUCCGUGACUUGGCAACUUGAUCUUGGUCCGCGCACAACCCGCUAUCAUUUGGUAUCAGAUUUUGGGCGUUUUGGGUGUUCUUGGUUGAUUUCUAAACUGAUCUCUAUUUUUUAAACUACAAACAACAGUUUUACCCAGAAAAAUUUUUGAAAAAAAUUCAUUUGAGUGGGUAAACGUUGUCUGAUUGAUCUAAAAUUUUACAAACAUAUUUUUGGCACUGUGAUUAAAUAUAAAAAAAUAUUUCCCGCAAAAAAGUCUGUCGAAAAAGUCAAAAAAAUUGAAAAAGAUGAAAUCUAAUAAAAAAUUAAAAAAAGAUUCAGAGGGUUGAGUUUGGUGCCCAAACUUUCCAGAUCAAAAAUUCAAUAUUUAAGGACAUUCCAGAUUUAAUUUUGUGAUUUUUGGAGAUCGGGAACACCUCAAACAAAGUUGUCAAGUUACUCCACAGUUUUUCGAGUUUUCUUGUUUCAGCAAUUUUUAUUGAUUCUUAGCUAUAGGUUUUCAUUUGUUUGUCUUUAUUCUCCCUUUACACUAUCUAACACCUUAUUGUUUCUUGUGUUAGUAGGAUUUUUAAAGUGUGCACAAUUCUUCCUCAGUGCGACACAAAUUAGUUGGUGUCACGUCAGUUUUUUGGCAUCCUAGUGCAAAUUAGGAUUCUUUGGUAGUUCGGUUCAUACACUUUCUAAUUGGUUGAUAUAGACUCUACUAAAGAACUCACAAGACAGAAUUCUACCUCAUUGAGAAUUUGAUUUUUUCUUUUUGAGUGAUUAACGGUGAGGUUUGCUAACUUUUCUUUUUGAGUGUUGAGUGUUUAUUUUGCAGGUUUUUGAAAAUGUCUAAGGUUGGUCAAGGUGAUAAUGAUCAUAAUGAUGUCUACGACACAUUUACAAAAUUCCAACAACAGUUAGACGAACAAGCUGCCUUACUCAGAACUUUGAGUGCUACUUUAAAUGAGGUACGAUUGAAUCAAGAGCCUCAAUAUCGAGAUCCAAUUAAAGAAGAUAUGGAUAACCAGCCUCCUGCUCAUCGGUGCGGUCCUCGACGUGUCCCUAGAACUGACUCUGAUUUUCAUGAUCGUGGGCAGCCCUCUUUGGCAAAACCGAAGUUCACAAUUCCCCAAUUUCGUGGUAAGAAUGAUCCAGAAGCUUAUUGUGAAUGGGAAUCUAAAAUUGAACUUAUGUUUCGAUAUUAUAAAUGUCCGGAUGAUGAAAAGGUAGCGUUAGCAACGCUGGAAUUUUUAGAUUAUGCAUUAAGUUGGUGGACUCAAUUUAGGGUGAAUCGUCAUCGGAAUUAUGAAGGUGAGAUUUCGACAUGGGAGGAGUUGAAAUAGAUUAUACGUAAAAGAUUUAUUCCACCUCACUACUAUAGAGAGAUUAAAACAAAGCUGAGACGACUUGUUCAAGGUAGUAGGACGAUGGAUGAAUAUUUUAAGGAGAUGGAGACGCUCGUUCAGAGAGCUAAUGUGGAGAAGGAUGAGGAAACAACUAUGGUUCGAUUUAUUGAUGGUUUGAAUAGGCCGAUAGGUAAUACAUUGAGGCUACAAACUUACAUUGAUUUGGAAGAAGCAGUUCAUAAAACCAUUGAGAUCGAGCAACAACUAAAGGAACAAAGGUUUGGUUCCUUCUCUACUUCACAAUAUUACCUAGGUAACAAUUCCAAUUCUGAUUUUAAGAGUUCAAAAUCACCUUUUGUUACUAAUAAGUCUUCUUUGAGUAAUGGAAGUAAGCAAUCAGAUUGGAAAAAAGGGGCUCCUGUUAAAACGCAAACACCUUCUAAGCAGCCCAAUUUACGUGAUUCGAGUGUGAAGAGGACUCGUGAGAUUGAAUGCUUUAAGUCCAAAGGGCGUGGUCAUUAUAGUAGGGAAUGCCCUAACACGAGAUUACUUCUUCUGAAAGAUAAUGGUAAGUACACUUCCGACUCUGAUAAAACAGAUCCAGAUAUGCCAGAACUUGUGGAUGACAGUGAUAAUGGCGAAGAGUUGGUUGAACCACCAAAAGAAGGGGACUUUGCUGAUUUUCAAUGCCUUGUAGUUCGCCGAACCCUUAACAUCCAGAUGAAAGAUGAUGACAACCAAAGGACCAAUAUUUUCCAUUCUCGGUGUUUUAUUAAAGGUAACUUAUGUUCACUCAUUAUUGAUAGUGGGAGUUGCUCGAAUGUAGUGAGUAGCUAUUUGGUAGAUUCUUUAAAGUUGCCUUGUACCAAACACCCUAAGCCAUAUCACCUUCAGUGGCUUAACGAAUGUUCCGAAGUUAAAGUUACGAAACAGUCCUUGGUCACUUUUAAGCUCGAGAAUUAUGAUGAUGAAAUAUGGUGUGAUGUGGCCCCAAUGCAUGCGGCACACUUGCUCCUUGGACGGCCUUGGCAAUUUGAUCACGAUGUUACACACCAAGGUAAGCUUAAUCGAUACUCCUUUGUGUUUAAAGGUAGAAAAUUUAUUUUUGCUCCUUUAAAUCCCACUGAUGUAUAUAAAGAUCAAUUGAAGAUGAUGAAAUUUUGUGAGGGGGUAAGGGAGAAAGGACAAGUACAAAAGACAGAGAGAAAAGAGGCUAGUAGUGGAAAAAGUCAAAAUUUAAAAAGCCCAAAAGUGAGUGAAUCCACAAGUGGUAAAAUGAGCGGAAAAAAUUUUUUGCCAACAAAAAAAAUGUGAGGAGACCCCUACUCAAUAAACAGCCUUGUAUCCUUGUGAGGUUUAGGCAAAAUUAUUUAUCUUUAUCUAACAUUAACGAAAAUUUACCUAGUGUGUUUAAGUCUCUUUUGCAGGAUUAUGAGGAUGUUUUUAGUGAGGCCCCUAAAGGUUUACCACAUUUACGAGGGAUAGAGCAUCAAAUUGACUUAGUACCCAGAGCUUCAAUACCAAAUCGACCAACCUAUAGAUGCAAUCUCGAGGAGACAAAGGAAUUGCAAAGGCAAGUUGAGGAAUUACUAGACAAAGGGCACAUUCGUGAGAGCCUAAGUCCUUGUGCCAUUCCUGUCUUAUUGGUACCAAAGAAAGAUGGUACUAUCGAAUUUGUGUUGAUUGCCAUCCAAUCAACAAAAUAACGGUAAAGUAUCGACACCCAAUUCCUUUCAGUCAUAUUUACUAAAAUUGAUUUGAAAAACGGUUAUCAUCAAAUUCGAAUGAGGGAAGGGGAUGAAUGGAAAACAGCCUUUAAAACAAAAUUUGGAUUGUAUUAAUGGUUAGUUAUGUCUUUCGGCCUUACUAAUGCACCUAGUACAUUUAUGAGAUUAAUGAACCAUGUUUUAAGGCUUCACUUAGGUAAAUUCGUAGUAGUUUACUUUGAUGAUAUUUUCAUUUACUCCAAGACAUUAUAUGAUCAUGUUUUCCAUGUUAGAACCGUUUUGGAUAUUCUGCAAGCUGAAAAAUUAUUUGCCAACCUUGAUAAAUGCACAUUCUGUUGUGAUAAACUAAUAUUCUUAGGUUUCAUAGUUAGUGCACAAGGUAUUCAUGUCGAUGAGGACAAAGUCAAGGCAAUCAAGGAGUGGCCCUAAAUCGGUAACUGAGGUGAGAUCUUUCCAUGGUUUAGCUAGCUUUUAUAGACGAUUUGUGAAAGAUUUCUCUACUAUUGUUGCCCCAUUAACAGAGGUUAUAAAGAAAUCAGUGGGUUUCAAAUGGGGUGAAACCCAAGAAAAGGCUUUUUAGACCCUAAAAGCUAAGUUAUGUUUGCUCCUCUUCUUAAAUUACCUGAUUUUUCUAAUACUUUUGAACUUGAGUGUGAUGCUUCAGGAAUUGGAAUCGGUGCCGUUUUAAUGCAAGAUAAGCAACCUAUUACUUAUUUUAGUGAAAAUUGAAUGGUGCACAAUUAAACUACUCGACUUAUGACAAAGAACUAUUGGCAUUGGUUCGUGCACUUCAAGUAUGGCAACGUUACUUGCUGCCUAAUGAAUUUGUCAUACAUACAGAUCCUGAAUCCCUUAAAUGGUUAAAGGGACAAGGUAAGUUGGGUAAACGUCAUGCCCGAUGGGUAGAAUUCAUUGAAACAUUUCCUUAUGUGAUAAAAUAUAAAACAGGUAAAGAUAAUGUAGUUGCAGAUGCUUUGUCUAGACGAUAUGCUUUAAUAACUACAUUGAAUGCUAAAGUCUUAGGGUUUGAACACAUCAAGGAGUUAUAUGAUGAUGAUGCUAAUUUCGGCCAUAUCUAUAAGAAUUGUGGACUUACUACUUUUGAAAAGUUUUAUCUUGUAGAUGGCUUUCUUUUCGUAUAAACAGGUUGUACAUACCAAAGUGUUCCAUGAGAGACUUAUUGAUUCAUGAGGCCCAUAGUGGGGGUUUAAUGGGACAUUUUGGAGUGGCCAAAACACUAGACAUUUUGCAAGAACACUUCCAUUGGCCACAUAUGAAGAAAGAUGUCGAAAAGGUAUGUUCCAAGUGCAUUACAUGUAAACAAGCAAAAUCUAAGGUAAUGCCUCAUGGCCUUUACACUCCUUUACCGAUUCUUACUUCACCUUGGGUAGAUUUAUCCAUGGAUUUUAUUCUAGGUUUGCCUCGAACUAAGAAAGGAAGAGAUAGUAUAUUUGUUGUUGUUGACAAGUUUUCAAAGAUGGCACAUUUUAUUCCUUGUCACAAAACAAAUGAUGCUACACAUGUGGCAGACUUAUUCUUUAAAGAGGUGGUAAGACUUCAUGGCAUCCCUAAAACAAUUGUUUCUGACAGAGAUGUCAAAUUCUUUAGCCACUUUUGGAAGGUCUUGUAGGGUAAGCUUGGUACUAAAUUACUUUAUUCCACUACAUGUCACCCUCAAACUGAUGGCCAAACUGAAGUAGUUAAUCGGAUCUUAGGGACAUUAUUACGAUCUGUUGUGGGAAAGAACAUUAGAAAUUGGGAAGAAUGCCUACCAUUUGUUGAAUUUGAAUAUAAUAGAUCUAUUCAUUCUACAACUGGUUAUUCUCCAUUUGAACUUGUUUAUGGCUUUAACCCACUAACAGUACUUGAUCUUGCGCCAUUACCACUUGAACACAUUGUUAAUUUAGAUGGCGAACAGAAAGCUGAGUUGGUGAAAUCCUUACAUGAGAAGGCUAGGCAACGAAUAGCCAAAACUAAUGAUGCCAACACCAACAAAGCAAACAAGGGGCGCAAACGGGUUCUCCUAGAACCUGGAGAUUAGGUUUGGGUCCAUUUGAGGAAAGAACGAUUUCCCACAAAAAGAAAGACCAAGUUGGACCCAAUGGGUGAUAGGCCUUUCCAAGUACUCGAGCGGAUCAAUGACAAUGCCUAUAAAAUUGAUCUACCUGGUAAGUACAAUGUAAGUUCUACUUUUAAUGUGGCUGACUUGUCCCCAUUUGAUUUUUCAGAUUCGAGGCCGAAUCAUUUUGAGAAAUGGGGGAAUGAUACGAGUCACAAAGGUCCAACCCAAGACCAAGAACGUGAUGGGCUCAAAUUACCACAAGGUCCAAUAACGAGAUCAAAGGCACGACAAAUACGUUUCAAACUAAACGGGACCAUUCAGGAGUUUGUUAGCAAGGCCUUAGAUGCGUACAUGAAAGAAAGAGAAAAUCAAGAUUCACUUUCUUGAUUUCAAGAAAAUCUAGAAACCGAAUCUUGGCCCAAUCUUGCUGUUUGGAGCGAUUUCAAGAAUCAAGAAAAUCAAGAUUUCAAAUCUUGGAAAACUUCGUCCAAGAAACUAAAUCUUGCAGCCAAAGCGCAUUGGAUCUCCGUUACGAGCAUCAACGAACCAAUUUCGGUAGGAGAUGGAAUACAAGCCCAAGUUCUUGAAGGCAAGGCCCAAUAAGAUUAUUCCAAGCCCAACCAAGAAGACAAACCAUACUUACUUGAAAAUCAGGCCAAAUUGUCAAAGUGGCCCAAUUUGUAAAGUUUUAUUUUUUAAAAAUACUUAGUUUAAAUUGUUAUGUAAAUAUUCAGUCCAAGAGGCCCAAUUAACAGGCCUUGGCUGAAUUUCCAUUUAAAAUUAAAAUAAUUAGGAGUGUUUUUAGUUUUAGUUUUCUAUUCAGAUUAGGAAAACAUUUGAAAGGCCUAUAUAAAGGCUUGGCCGGCCACCUUGUUAGACACUUUCUCAAUUAUAUUAAAAAUUUCAGAUUUGUUUAAGUGCAGAAUUCUCCUUGAGUUUUUCUCCAAGAAUUCUCUCUUGAGUUUUCUUUUGAAGUUGUUUUAACAAUCUUUUGAUUGUGGGAGCCAUCUUCAGUCUUCUUCUUGCCAUUGAUAUUCUUUGGAAGGGAGAUUAGAGCCGUUUGAAGGGAGUUGUGAGAUCUUUCGGGAUUUCAAAGCUUCUUAGGACUUAUCUUUUAAUUUCUUGCUGUCAAUUUUUUCUUUUAAAAUCUUCUUGUGUCGAUUUUAUUUAAUCACUUUGUUUGCUGUUCUUGUUGCGUUUCAGGCGUUCCAAAGCAUUCCAAAUCUGAUUCGCCUUCUUCUUUACUAAAGAUCGGAUCGCCUUAUUUGUUCUUGGCAGCAAAAAUUCGUUCAAAAUCCCUAAAUUCCUUGUUCUUGCCGAUUUCUUCUUUUCAGAUUUGGGUUGUUUUAAUUGCUGGAAUUUUGGGGAAAUUUAAGUUGUUGUUUGUCUUUCUUUUCAGAUUCGGCAGAUUGGAGUAUUCUUUGGGGUUCAAUUACAUGUUCUUGAUUCCCCAAGAACCCUUAUUAACAUUUAUUCCUAUUCUCAAUUUGAUUCUUUGCUGAUUUGGGGAUUUUUAUUUCAGAUCUGGAAAUUCAAAGUUCUAAUCUUUUAAUUUCUGUUUCGUUUCAGAUCUGUUCGUUUAGAGCCUCGUAGGAGUUUUUCGUGACUUGGCAACUCGAUCUUGGUCCGCGCACAACCCCCUAUCAUUAACAAUACUGACUAGAGAGUAACCAAAACCAAAAAUGGGGUCUUCAAAUAGCAAAUCCCCACUAUAUUUCGAAGAGAAUCAACAGUUCUAUGGUGGGCAUGAAAGCGACAGUCUUCUGCAGCCGCCGCUUCUACCAACGCCGGAGCUUCUCAACCCAGAAGCCAUCCUCUUCUCGAUUUGAACCCUCUUGCACCAUUGCUUGCGAUGUUUUGUUACCAAAUUAGCCAAUGAAGUGUAAGGCGCCAUAUGCAUGAAACUCCUUCGCUAUCUCUUUUGCAGACCAAGUAAGGGCACUUAUAUCUGAGAAAUCUUGUUCGUGGUUGUUAAUAUUCCUGAUAAAAGAUCUUGAAUCUCCCUCGACUAUUAUUGACAGAAAACCUAAAUAUUUAGCAAAUCGAAGUACAUGUAUCACCGCAACUGCUUCUGCUGCAAAGACUAAAAGAAUAGGGUAAGUGAUUUUGCAACAAGCCUCCAUAAUCUCCCCAUUUUCAUCUCAAAUUACAACCCCUACUGCAGCCUUCUUUUGAUUUAAUCUAAACCCAGCAUCAUGUUUAGUUUAACCAAACCUGUAGGUGGUGGAGACUACCGAGCUUGAAAUUGGAGGCUACACCACUGUCCGUAAGGAUCACAAAGACCAACUCCACACAAUAGUUGCGGAUGGAGCUGACAAUCUCACCUACACUCUAGUGUUCCCUUGUGCACCAUAUGAUUCCGAGCAAACUAUAUAGCCCACAUUGUACCACAAAUUUCAUUAUGUUUUGUUGUAUGAUACAUCUUUAGUAUCCAUGAAAGCCACUCAUGGAAAUCCAUUUGAGUACUAGCCACAUGCAAUGGGUAACCCAACAUUACCCACACAUUUCUCGCACUAGCACAAAAUCUUAGCACAUGGUUCACUGUCUCGUGAUCAACAUUACACCUCGAAUAGAUUGGAUUAUUUGUAACACUUCUAUUGUAUAGGCAUGAUCUAGUGGCUACAAAACCAUGAACAAAUUUCCACAAAACUAUUUUGAUUUUUGAGGGACAUCUAGUUGCCCAAAUUUGCUUGAAAAUUUCAUGCCCAAAUGAUAAGGGAGUCGGUGGCUAGAGUAAUAAAUGAUAUCCGCUAUGAACAGAGUAUAUACCCGAGCGUUCAUCACCCCAAAUGAGACAAUCCUCUUGAUGAAUAGACAGUAAAGGAAUACCCUGGAUAAGGAUUGCAUCAUCAUCUACAAAAAGCAAGUUAAUCAAAUCCUGGUUCCAACCUAUUCCAUUCAGAAAAAAAAAGCUUAGACACCCUAUCAAUGUUACCCGAUCUGGGGGUUUGACCUCUUCUAGGCAAAGACCUUGGCACUCAACAACCUCCUAAAUGUUAAUUCUAUCGCCCAUCCCCACAUUCCAUUUAAGCCCUAUCUCAACUAAUUUCCUAGCACUCUAGAUGCUCUUCCAAACGGGUGAUGGAUUGGAGCCCAACUAAGCAAUAAGAGACCUUGUAUUGGGAAAGUAUUUGGCCCUUAGGAUACGCGCCAUCAACAACGUAGGAUGCAUUAAGAUUCUCUACAUCUUCUUUGCUAGUAGGGCUACAUUAAACUUCGUAAGAUCCCUAGACCCCAACCCUCCAUCAUCCUUUAGUUUGCUAAAAAACAACUAACUACAUCAAUGGAUGCCUCUCUUGUUAGCCGCCUUCUGCCACCAAAACUGAGCUAGGGCGCCUUUAAUUUCUUUAUAGAAAGUUUGUGGCAAGAGGAAACACAUCAUUGCGGAAUGUUGGGAUUGCUUGGAGAAUGGAUUAUAUGAAUACCUCUCUUCUACCUAUUAAUAACAGCCUCGUACUCCAAGAAGAUAUUCGACUUCGAAUUUUAUCCCUUAGGUUAGCAAAGGCCCGCUUCUUGUUCCAACCUACCAUACAUGGUAAACCUAAAUAUUUCUCUAAGUUGUCAGCAUGAUGAACCCCCAGAAUUCUCUCCACAUCCAACCUAUUCCUCAUGUCAACAUUUGAACUAAAGAAAACACUGGAUUUUUCAAAAUUGACUAGCUAACCUGAACACUUGGCGUAUGAUUGAAACACCUUUAAGACAUUUGUACGGAUGGAUGAGUUCAUGGGAACUCCUAGUGAUGUGUGUAGCAAAAUUAGGAAAGAUUUUUCUUUUGAUAUAUUGAAAUUGCAUUGUCAUUUAUAAACAUGUGCAUACAAAAUUGUGAAUUCCAAAAUAUUAUAAUGAUGUGUUGAUCUAUAAAAUUGUUACUAUGACUUGCUAUAUGAAUGUGAUUGUUCUAAAGAACUGUCAGUUCGCAUGCUUUAUUACACCGAUUUUCUUGUGAUUUGACUCACACUGAGCUUCUUAAGUUCACCCCCUUUAAUUUCCAUAUUUAUAGAUAACCCACCAGGUUAGGACACGAACACGGCAUCUAGUCGGCUUGGCUCGGAUAGUUUUUAUUUUAUUUAUUUAAAAAUAUUUCAGUUUUACAUUAUAAUUUAUGUUAUCUGGAACUGUAUUGAUUUAUUUGAACUGUAGCAUGGGACUUUAGUUUUGGGUUUAUUUGGCAUGCAUGACAUUUAAUUUGAUUUUAGGAUAUUGAAAUAUGGAUUUUGAAUUAAUUAUGCAUGAAAUGUGGUUUUCCUUAAAACUAUGAUAAAAAUCAUUUUUCCACUGCAUGACUAUGUAGAAGAGGUUUGAAAGAUAUAUAUAACUGGAAUUCAACUUUUGCAAAACAAUCAUUAAAAUUGAUCUGUUUUGAAAUUAAAUUGUACAUUUUGAAAACAAGCAAAUUUUUUCUUCAAAAAUUGAAAGAAAUGUUUUAAACAAACUGUUUUUAAACUCCGAUAAUGUUUCUAGGCCAUUUCAGUGGCCAAUAUAAUCUUUCGAAUUCAGACCUAACGUCUGACCGGGUUGGGGAGGUUACAUAGAUCUAACAAUAAAGAGGGUUUUUUUUUCCUUCUAACAAACAAUGAGAAAAAAAAAGAAAAGAAAGAAGGAUUGAUGGAUUAUCUAAGCAAUAAAAACUUUAUCCUCUACAAAGUUAUCAAUUAUAAUUAGAUUAUGACACGUUCACGAUGUGGAUGAAAAAUAAAAUUAUAUAAAAAUAUAUAUUUAUAAAAAUAUUGAUAUAUAUAUAUAUAAUAAAGUUUUAGUUGAAUGGUAAAGUACAAAUGUGAAAUUUAAAAUGUAUGAAUUUGAAUCCUUUUAUAUGUGUUUUUUUCCUAUCUUUUUAUAUAAAAAUAUAAAAUAACAAAAACAAUCUAAAAAUAAUAUAAUUUAGUUUGUAAAUUGAAGGCAUUUCAUCUUUUUUUUUCAUUUAAGUUGGUAUUCGAUUAACUUGUAAAACCAACUCCAUCAAGAACUUUGUAAUAAGUAUAGUUAAAAGAAUUUAACAAAACAUUCCCCAAUGCUAUAUAAUUUUGACAUUCAAACUAAUAUUAAACUUUUUUUAUUGAUCGAAUCUUAAUUCAGUUGAUAUAAUUUUAUUGAAAUUUUUUGAAGGUUAUAGGUUUGAGUGGAUUUAGGUGUAAAAUGUUUUAAUGUUAUUAUUUAUACUAUUAUUUAAGUAUUUGAUUGAAUUGGUGUCACGAGUCAACUUGGCACCAAUUUGAUUAGAAAAUUAUGAAAAUGUCCUUAUAUAAUUAAACUAAGUUAUAUUAUUUGAGGGUACUUUAGUAAUUUAUUUUUAACAAAAACCAAUGAAAAAUAUGCAUCUUGUGGGAUUUGAAUCCCCGCCAAUUAAAUUUGUAAACUUUAAACUUACCACAUAACCAAAGUUUCAUUUUGAUAAUUUUAUACAUUUUUAUUUUAAUAUGCACAAUUUAUUACCUCCAUCAAUUGUAUAUUUAGUAUUUUUAAUUUAAUGGAUUUAUGUUUUAAAAAUUCGUUUUACUCACAAUUUAAUAUAAUUUUUCAUUUUAAUAUCGUACAUAUUUCAUGUGUUAUUACUUAAUUUGUUUCAAAUCCUACGUUUCAUUAUUUAUUGUAUGUUAUUUUUAAACAUUUUUUUGUCUUCUAAAUACGUGAUUUCCAUAGGCAUACGCGUGUGAUAAAAUUUCUAAUAAUCAAUUAGGAAUUUGAGAUUAACCUUAGAUUAAAAAUGUAUAAACAAAUUGGGAUAAGGUAAUAUUUAGUCCCUGAACUUUUUUUUUGUCCAUAUUAAUCCUUAAACUUGGCAACUUUUCUCGUUUUUGGUUCAUAUGAUGAUGUCACACUUUAAUAUUAUGUCAUGUCAUCAUCUAAAAUUUUUUUGUAAAAAAUUAUAACUUUUUAAUUGAUGAUGUAGCGUAAUAUUAAAGUAUCAAAAUCGACAUUUUUCAAAACUAACAUGGAUUAAAAAAAAUUUCAAAGGCUAAAUUAAAAAAAAUUGAAAAGUUUCUACCUAAUUUAACUUUUUUAGGAAAGCUAUGCUAUUUUCCUAUACAUUGAUUCAAGAAAAACUAAUAUAAUAUGUAUAAAUAGAUUGUAAUUUUUUUCUAAUCCAUAUUUUUUUAUAAUGAAAAUAUCAUUUUUAAUUUUAUAUUUAAUAAUAAUUUUUGUUUAUUUAUUUUAAAAAAUCAGUAUUCAUGCAAUAGCAAUUUAAUCGAAUAUUUUAUUUAGAAUAUUGAUAAUGUCGAGCAAAAUUCUAAAGAUAUACCACAAAUGACUAUAGUGGUAAAGUAAGAAGAAGCAAGAAAAACUGCCCCACGUUUUGGGUGACCUCAAACUUUCUUUUCAGAUAUUGUUAGAUGGGAACAUAGAUAUAAUUUGUUGUAGAUGGUUACAUUCCACAAUUAUGGGGGGUGACACACCACAGCACUAGUGAUUCUUUUGUCUUUAUCAACACGUGAAGACGGGGCUUGUUAAGGUUUUAUCUUUAUGUAUUAUUCUUUUCUCUUCCUUUUCUCCUCGCGAAUCUCGUUGCCCUUUGUCCUCAACUACAACUGCGCCUAUCAAGCUGCUUUUCUUGCCUUUUGUCCUGCUUUAUCUCGCCUCCCAGAUUUUCUCUUCGCAUAUUGGAAUACCUCCUUACAUUCUCUUGUGCAUGAGCACUAUAUUUUGCUCGAUAAAAUAUCCCUAGUGAGCCUUAGACAUAGAUAUCUUAGUUCAAUUCAAGGAGUUAGAUGCCAUAAUGUUGCCUUACCUACACCAAUUCGUACGAUAUACCAAUUCAUCUAAACCUCAAUCAUAAUCUUAGGAUUAAGACAACUUACGUAUAUGAGCUAAGGCCCCAUUGAGAGAAGUAAGCAAGAGCGUUCCCACCAAAAUCAAGUGACUCCCAUCUCUUUACAUAUGACCUUUGACUAUCAUAUAGCUCUUCACCUUGCAAUAUUUUUUUGUGUAUCAACAAUGUAUUAUUAUUUAGUUCACUAAUAGUGAAUAGAACUAUACAUUAUAGGUAUACAUUCUGUGUAUCAACAAUGUAUCAUAUAAAUCCUUACAGAAAUAUGUUAUUUUUACUUCUAAACAAAAUUUUAGAAUAAAAUCAUCUUUAAUAGUUUAAUUUAAAAUUUAAGAGAUUAUCCACAUUUAUUUAUUUAUUUAUUUAUUUUUAAGAAAAAGGAAAAACAUAAAAGUAAUAUAUAUAUAUAUAUAUGUAAGUUCUACACCAGAUACUUUCAUAUCUGUAUCUUCUAUUCUCUCUCAUCUUAGAGUAAAAGUAACGUAUUCAACUCCAAAACUGAACACAUGACUACUUGAGAAAGAAAAGAAAAAAAAAACACAAAGAAUAAGAAAUGUGUAGAAAGAUUGGCAAUUGGCACAAAAUGGUUUAAAUGAAAACUUGGUCCCCACUUUUAAGUAUUUAAUUUCCCCCCUUAUCAAAUAUUUUCUUCCUUUCUCUUGCAUCAUGUACCAUGUCUUUUUUAACCCUAAAUUAAUAUCAAAUAGUUUCAUAAAAAAAAAAGACAUGGGGGAGUUUUAAUUGAUUUAAAAGUUUUGUCUUUUAAAUUUAUUUAAUUAAAUAAAACUAUUUUUGUAUUUUUUUUAUUUAUGAUUAAAUGAUGUGUUUUAAUUUGAUUGGCUCAAAAUUUUUGUAAUAGAGUAAAUGGUUGGACAAAAAUGAUAAGGAGACCAAAGUUUAAGUACUGCUUUUAAUAAAUAAAUAAAAAUGCUUAAAUACUUGAAGCUUUAAAUUGUCAAUUCUCAUAGUCCGAGUGAAUGUGGCCAAAAUUAAUUGCACCAACCUAUUUUAAUUUCUCCUCAAACUUUAAAAUAUUUUAAUUAUAUAUUUAAACUAUCCAUGCUCCGUUUUUAAAUUAAUUAAUUUAACCGUUACAUAGAACGUUAAUCUUAGUCAACAUAAUUUAAAAUAAAAAAAAUUUAAAAAUAAAUAGUGUAAAGUUGGAUGUUGUAAAAGACAACAAAUCUUACUAUAUUAAAUAUAAAAAUUUUGAUUUUGAGGUUUUCCAAGUUUUUACAAAGAGUAUCAUUCACUCUUUCUCUCUUUUUGUUUUACUUUAUUUUUAGUUUUAAAUAUUAAAAGUUAUAUGGAAAAAUUUUGCUUUUCUUUAAAAAUUUUAUAUUAAAUUAUAUGACACAUAAGAUUUUACGUGUCAUUUAAUAGUUAAAUUAACGGUUUCAAUAAUGGAAGUACCCAAUUAAUAUAAUAUUGAUAAUUUAAAGACUAAUUUAAAAUGAGUCAUAAUUUAGGGAUGUUUGAUGCAACUAACUAAUAAGUUCCACAUUUUUAAUUUUUAUAAUUAAGAUAAAUUACUAUAUUAACGUGGCAAAUGUUUUCUAGUGGCCUUCAAUUCUUUUUUUCUUUUUUUUAAGUCUAUUUGCUUUAGUUUUUUAAAAAUUAAAAUUUUUAUUAUGUAUUUCCAUAUAUAGAUAAUUUCUACUCGAAGUAAUAAUUUUAAAAAAUAAAAUAAAUGAUUUUACAUAAAAACCAUUUUUUAUGGAAAAAUAUUAAGAAUGCUUUAGUACUAAACUAUAUAUGGUUUUCUUCCCUUUUUUUUAAUUUUUUAAAAUUUUUCUAAUAAUCGAGUCAAGUGGUUUCAUGUAUUCAAUUAAGAGUUACUUUGAUUCGCGUUAGGGGUGUGCAUAAUUCGGGUAAAACCGAAAAAAUUCGGUUAAUCAACCGAAUUCAAUUAAUCGGUCGGUUAACCGAAUUUUUUCGGUCGGGAGUCGGUUAAUUUUUUUAUGAUUUUUCGGUUAACGGUUAAUUCGGUUCGAAACCGGUCGGUUAACCGAAAAUUUUCGGUUAACCGAAAAAUUAAUAAAUAAAAUUAUCCAACCCAGCCCAAACUCAAUUACCCAACCCAAUUACCCAACCCAAUAAAACUAAAACUAAAGUUUACCCAAUUACCCAAUCCAAUAAAACUAAAACUAAAAGACAACCCAAUUUACUAAAGUCUAAAACUCAAUUUACUUUAAUAAUUUAUAAAUUUUUUAAAUUUUAAAAAUAAAAAAUAAAAACAAUUUGGGUAAUUCGGGUAUUUUUCGGUAAUUCGGUUAAUUCGGGUAAUUCGGGUAAUUUUUAACCAAAAAUAAAAAAUACAUAAUUUUCGGUUAAUUCGGUUAACCGACCUUAUUAACCGAAAAAAUUUCGGUUCGGUUAAUUUUUUUUAAAAAAAAUCGGUUCGGUUAACGGUUAAAAUUUUUGGAAGGUCGGUUAACCGAAUGAACACCCCUAAUUCGCAUUCUUUCUAAAUUUAAAAUUGAGUUUUUCUACUUUUAUUCCAAAAAAAAUUAUUUUUUUAUUUUUAAAAUUUAAAAUUUUAAAUUCAAUUGUUAAUCUGUAAAAAAAAGUUAUUAAAUUUAAAUUUAUUAUAAAAUCAUUUUUUAAUUGUAUGGCUAUGAAGUGAAUUUUUUUAUUAUUUAAAAAUUUUAUAUCCAUAAAUUUAAAAAAAUUAAUAAUGUUAAUAAUUUGAAUUGAAUUUUAAAAUAGAAAUAAAUUAUUUAUGAUAUUUUAAAAUAUUAUUUCAACUUAUUUGUCUUGUUUAGGGGUGUAAACUAGUAUAUAAUGGAGGUGCGUAUUGCAAUAUCAGAACAACGACACAACACAAAACAAACCGAAACACACAAAGCUUAGCUACGUACGUACACCAUCACCAUGACUGCCAAUUCAACCCUGCUAGCAACACAAUGCGCGGCUGUUGUGGCCGUCCCACAGCGGUGCCAUCCCCCCUCUAGAUUUGCCACUGGGUACCAGCAGCUUCGUACAAAUUUGGUAACCACCAAAACAUACAAACCUACAAUCAUGGCUGCCGGUGCCUUGGUCUCCAAACCAUCCCAACUUCAUGCAAAUUUGGUACCCAAAAGAAACAAAAUGGUGGUAUUUGCCUAUCCAGAAACAAAAACAAUAGAAAUCUCAACCAAUGGCUUUCCAGAAUUCAUUAAAUGCAUAAUUAAUAACGAAAGUAAGAAAACGCUAGAACUGGAUUCGACUGAACCAUUUCUGGGGUCUGAGGAAUUUGAGAAGAUCG